rnacentral:rRNA from 1 species
GUCCACACGGUAAACGAUGGAUACUAGGUGUAAUUGGAAUCGACCCCAGUUGUGCCGAAGCAAACGCGAUAAGUAUCCCGCCUGGGGAGUAUGGCCGCAAGGUUGAAACUCAAAGGAAUUGACGGGGGCCCGCACAAGCGGUGGAGGAUGUGGUUUAAUUCGACGCAACGCGAAGAACCUUACCAAGACUUGACAUCCACAGAAUUUGAUAGAGAUAUCGAAGUGCUCGAAAGAGAACUGUGAGACAGGUGGUGCAUGGCUGUCGU